GUGGGUACAAGAAAUCUACUUUAUUCAGCACACUAACCUAAUUUCCGAGACAUGUUACAUACAUGAAACAUGUCUUAGAAAUUAGGAUUUUUCUUGGCUUGUGUGCUGAACAAAGUAAAUUUCUUGUACCCA
rnacentral:pre_miRNA from 1 species